rnacentral:lncRNA from 1 species
UUUGGUUGUGGAGCCAUUUGCUUAGUUAGAUAGACAAAUCAGUUUACCUUUAGCAGUAUGGUUUAUGCCAGAGUUUCUCAAUCUUGGCAUUAUUGACAUUUUGGACUGAAUAAUUCUUUGCUUUGGAGGCUGUCCUGUGUGUCAUGGGAUGUCUAGCAACAUCUCUGGCCUCUACCCAUUAGAUGCCAGUAGCACCUGCUUCCCAGUCCUGACAAUGAGGCUUAUAAAUCUAUGUUUGUAGCUAUAAGUGAUUAUUCUGUUUUUAGAAAAAAAAAAGGAGAAAGAUAUUUGUUCAAGCUCAAAAAGGAGAUUUCAGAAAAAUAUUCACCGAAGAGGUAAGCAAGCAAGCCACAGCGCCUACCCGCUGGGCUCCCCAGAGCCCUGGCCUCUGCUGAAGGCUCCACCCGCCCUCUCCUU